CAUUCCUACGGGAGGCAGCAGUAGGGAAUCUUCCACAAUGGGCGAAAGCCUGAUGGAGCAACGCCGCGUGGGUGAAGAAGGUCUUCGUAUCGUAAAACCCUGUUGUUAGAGAAGAAAGUGCGUGAGAGUAACUGUUCACGUUUCGACGGUAUCUAACCAGAAAGCCACGGCUAACUACGUGCCAGCAGCCGCGGUAAUACGUAGGUGGCAAGCGUUAUCCGGAUUUAUUGGGCGUAAAGGGAACGCAGGUGGGCUUUUCAGUCU
rnacentral:rRNA from 1 species